ACCUGGCUGGCUCAGUCGGAAGAGUGUGUGAUUCUUGAUCUCAGGGUUGUGGGUUCGAGCCCCACAUUGGAUG
rnacentral:tRNA from 1 species